GAUGAAGAACGUAGCGAAAUGCGAUACUUGGUGUGAAUUGCAGAAUCCCGUGAACCAUCGAGUCUUUGAACGCAAGUUGCGCCCGAAGCCAUUAGGCCGAGGGCACGCCUGCCUGGGCGUCACACGUCGUUGCCCCCCCCAUCUACUCCUUCGGGAUUGCGGGGGGCGGAGGAUGGCCUCCCGUGUGCCUCGCCGCGCGGUUGGCAUAAAUACCAAGUCCUCGGCGACGCACGCCACGACAAUCGGUGGUUGCGAAACCUCGGUUGCCCGUCGUGUGCGGUCGUCGCGCAUCGAGGGCUCGAAAAAAUUGCCGGGUUCCGGCUCGGCUUUCAACGCGACCCCAGGUCAGGCGGGGUUACCCGCUGAAUUUAAGCAUAUCAAUAAGCGGAGGA
rnacentral:misc_RNA from 1 species